UGGGGAAUAUUGGACAAUGGGCGAAAGCCUGAUCCAGCCAUGCCGCGUGUGUGAAGAAGGUCUUCGGAUUGUAAAGCACUUUAAGUUGGGAGGAAGGGCAGUUACCUAAUACGUAUCUGUUUUGACGUUACCGACAGAAUAAGCACCGGCUAACUCUGUGCCAGCAGCCGCGGUAAUACAGAGGGUGCAAGCGUUAAUCGGAAUUACUGGGCGUAAAGCGCGCGUAGGUGGUUUGUUAAGUUGGAUGUGAAAUCCCCGGGCUCAACCUGGGAACUGCAUUCAAAACUGACAAGCUAGAGUAUGGUAGAGGGUGGUGGAAUUUCCUGUGUAGCGGUGAAAUGCAUAGAUAUAGGAAGGAACACCAGUGGCGAAGGCGACCACCUGGACUGAUACUGACACUGAGGUGCGAAAGCGUGGGGAGCAAACAGGAUUAGAUACCCAAGUAGUCCCUGAGCGGGCUGGCAAGGCGCAU
rnacentral:rRNA from 1 species